UCGUCAUCCAACACUAUUUGGGAGCGCCACAUAUUUAAUAACUUUAUCAUAACAUCGUAAGCUCCCCACUCAUCCUGCUCGUACGACGCGUUUCUUACUCAAUAAGUCGUCAACUUGUAGCUCAUGGAUCCGCAAAGUUGUAUAACAGAGACGCGAUAUGGAACGAAAAGAAAGCUCCUCGCCGGAACGCCUGUGUGAAAUAUCUUGUGUACGUUGUAGGUCAUUAGAAGCUUGUGUAAUGGCUAAACGUAAUUUAUCACUUUGUAUAAUUGGAAAUAAAAGAGCGGCUUUAAAAACAGUUGUGUGUGCUCCGUUAUGCCUAUAACUUACCAGGUUUUUCCAACAUUUAUUGACUGCAAUUCAUUGGAUUUCGGUAAGGCGCUUUUUCUACAUGUUGGCCAUAAUUCCUGUAAGUCGAUUUUAAUUAAAAUAUUUGUUAAAAUAUGGCGACCGUUAGUAAACGGCAUUUCCGGCCAUAACGGCACUUGACAUUCUACUGAACGCG